rnacentral:lncRNA from 1 species
CGCCGCCGGCGCACUGGUUGUGCUCGUACGGCUUGCAGCCGUGGCGGAUGACGCCGUGCAGCCUCGGGAGCGGGCCGCAGAGGCGGUUGUAGCUGAGGUCCAGCGUCUGCAGCGUGGAGAGCGCGGCGAGGGAGCGUGGCACGGUGCCCCUGAUGCGGUUGUGGCUGAGGUCCAGGUAGGUGAGCUCCGGCGGGAAGACGAGCUUGCUGAGGUCGAAGUCGAGGUCGUUCCACGAGAGGUCCACCUUGCCGAUGGGCCGGCCGGCGGCGAAGAGGAAGGAGGCGUCGCCGGUGAGGCGGUUGUGCGAGAGGUCGACGGUGUUGAUCUCGUCCUGCGCGUCGUCGCGCGGGAUCGGGCCGGUGAGCUGGUUGUAGGAGAGGAUCAGCGACCUGAACUGCCCCUGCACGAGCCCCGCCGGGAUGCAACCCGUCAGCUUGUUGCUGCGGAGGUCAAGCGACCGGAGGUUCGGGAGGUCGGAGAAGGAGUUCGGGAUGGGGCCGGUCAGGCUGUUGUGGGAGAGGUCGACGGAGUCGAGGCUGCGGAUCCGCGCGAGCGAGUCCGGGAUGACGCCGGAGACGUUGGUGUGGGAGAUGGUGAGGAACUGGAGGUUGGAGAGCGCGGUGAGGCACGCCGGGAUGGGGCCGGAGAGGCCCGGGAGGCGGAACAGCGACAGCGACAUGAGCGCCGUCAGCCCCGCCACGGCGGACGGGAUCUGGCCGCGGACGUCGUUGGCGCCGUCGAUGAAGACGUUGUUCACGCGCCCGGCCUCGUCGCACCGGACGUGGUCCCACUCGCAGCAGUCCGCCGACGCCAGGGACCACGUCGACAGCGUCGCCGGGUUUCCCAGCGACUGCUUCACUCUCAUCAGCGCCUGCUUGUCGCUCGGCGGGCAUCGCACCGCCCUCGCCGGCGCCGCCGCGACGGCCACCGCCAGCAAGACGGCGAGCAUGAAAGAGGCGGUGGACGCCAUUGUAUCUACCUGAACUAGGCUCGUGUGGCUGGAGCUGGCUUGAGUGUGUGUGAGUGAGUGCGGGAGUGAUGAGCUCUCGAGGGUGGUAUAAAAAGAGCCGCGCGUGGAGGCGUCAGGAUCAGUGUGCAUGCAUGAUGGGAUAAACGAUACAUUUUCCUCCCAUUUUUUUUCUCUCUCCCUCUCAUAUCCUUUUUUUGACCACCCAUCGAACCGGGACAUGCUUGGGCUCGGGGCCUCGGACACCGAGACGGCCAGCGGUGCGGUGGUACUACGAGCGGACACGAGAAGGAUUCGCGGUGAAUGAUGAGUGAAAACGAAUCAAUCCCUGACACCGCAACAUGCCAAACGCACACACACGCACAGGCACAGAGAUAGGUGGUGCCGUGGUGGUGAUAACCGGGAAGCAUCGCCGUGGGUUCGGCCACGGCCGGCGCGUGAUUGGUGCGUGCAUGAUUAGCAAUGGCAUGUGGGAUGGGAACGAACUGGGGCUUUCGCCCGCUCCGUGCUCCGGCCAGCGCCCACAUUGCUGGGUGCAGAAGCAGAAAGCAGAAGCCGCUCGCUCCGCCCGCCCGGCCGGCCGGGCGGCACGGCACGCACUCGUAUUAACUCGCGGACAUGUGCGCUCGGAUCUCCCGGAGCCUCAAGACGGGGGCGUCGCGUAGCUAAGCUAGCACCUGUUCUGGAUACGCUUGUCUCGGUUAUGAUCGGCAAAGGGCCGCAAAUGGACGGGAAGACAGCUCGUUUUCCGUGUAAGUCAACAUGAUAGGAGUACUAGCAAUGAGGAGGUUAUUUAAAUCCACAUGAAACAAUUAUACGCAGUUUGCAAAUUGCAGCCCCCUCUGAUUGAAUUCGCAUAUAAUGAGUAUCCCGCACUAAUUAUUUCGGAUGAGAAAAGGUCGAAGUGCAUGUUCUACUGUUCGAUUUCGUAGAGAUAUGCAUUGCAUUAUCGUGUCGCAGGGAUUAGAUCGAUCACAUAUAGCACAGGCCCACGAGAGACAAUCAAGGAGACGUCGUCACGUCGCUCGCACUGUCGCAGGCGGUGGUGCAUGCAUGAAUGCAAACUGAGUAGCUGACCAGGUCCAUCACUCCACCAGCCCGUGAAAAAACGUACUAGUAGCAGGAGGACGGACACAGCAGCAGCGAGAGCCACCGUCGCCGCGCCACGUACUCGCACAAGCCGCGGCCCACCACACCGCCACCCAUGCACGCGACGUCUCUGUCCGAUCCCCUGAACUGAAACGCUGUCACGCUGGAGCGCGCACAAGCCAAAGGUGCUCCCUGUCCGACUCGGCGCGCGCUUGCCCGUAUCACGUCUUCAGCGAGCGAGACGAGAGGAGGAGGCACGCAGCGGCGGCCAUGUGGGGGCUAAAUAAUGCGGCAUGGACGUGGUCCGACAGGGUUCAGGCCGGCACGAGAGCGCAUGUGGAGGCUUGGGCGGCGAGGGGAAAAGAAAGGAUUCUUUCGGCUUUCUGGGCUGGCUGCCCGGGCCGCUUGCAGCUUUGCGUUAAACCUCCCCCUUGUAGAAAAUGCAGUAGAGAUUUCGGAGGUUUGGAAUCUCAUUAUGAUGCUUUAGAACCAAGAAAUGACUCCCCUAUCAUGUUUCACAUAUUUAUGUAGAUCUAGUUUAUAUAGGAUUUAACAAAGAUAAUUCAAUCUUGCGUUGCAAUUUGCAGAGCUGCCUUGACGCUUGACGCUUUUGCUCUGUGCUCUGCGGUUCGGCCUGGCCGUCCAGCUACGCACCCACAUGCAUCGACCGAACUGGAGAUAGAUGUACCCCGCCUGGGCGCUGCUCUGUCCAGUCUCUGCCUCUGCUCGCACCGGGCACACCAGUUUCACCAGCGAGCGUGCGGUACGCCAGCACCACCAGACCAGAUAGCACCGUCGUCUCUGCGAUUUCUUUACGCGAAAAGCAGGGCGGGUUGGUUGGAUCGCGAAACCGAUCAGCCGAGGCGACGCCGCGACGGAGAGAUUGUGCCAGCGUCAAGUUGCAUGCCGACGUAACACACUUGAUUUUCUUUAGUACUGAGAUUUGUGCGAGGUACUAGUAGUAGUCGUAGCUUUGGCUCUCCAUGCGAUUCUUGGCUGCCAAAGCGGUGGCUGAUGCCUCCGUGGUUUGUUUUGGUGCGUCGUGGUGUUCAUCGCAGGAUCUCUCACGUGUUGACUGAAAAUUGUUGUAUUAGGUGUAGUCUCCAGGUUGCAGCUUUUUAACGACGGGGAAUUAUAAUCAGCCUAUAUGGGUGGUGUAUCCUUUUGAAUUUUAGUACGUACGAGCACAUCACACGACAAAUACUCUAUUACUGCUACAGUCACCAGCGCAAACAUUUCUUAACAGAGAUAUUAUUGUACUAUCGGCCAGCUAGCACUUGUAUACUUUUCAUUUUGGAUCGGUUCCGCCCUGAACGGCAUUCAUCUCUCUCUUUUUCUCAGUGUAUACUACAGACCGAGUGAAAAAUAGUUGCACCGUGCGCGUGGGACAGCUCGCAGUAAUUCUUCUUCAAAACUAGUACUGCUGUUCAUUCAUCAGAUGACAAAAUGACAACCAGCAACUAGCUGGCGGCCUGGCGCUGCAGCACUUGGUGGCACACCCAUCACGUGCCUGUAACGAGAAGAAAAAAAAACUUACUACUACCACAGUACUAUUCUCUCUAAAAAGAAUCCAAUUGGUGGCUAGGAUUGAGUUUUCUUAGACGAAGAGGUUAGCUGGCUGCUACUCCUUCCGUCCUAUAAUAUAAAGGAUUUUGAUAUUUUACUUGUACUGUUUGACUAUUCAUCUUAUUAAAAAAAAUUUAGAAUUAUUAUUUAUUUUUUGUGUGACUUACUUUAUUAUCUAAAGUACUAUAAGCAUAACUUUUUGUUUUUUAUAUUUACAUAAAUUUUUUAAAUAAGAUAAGUAAUUAAACAGUACAUGUAAAAUAUUAAAAUCUCUUGUAUUAGAGGACAGAGGGAGUAGUAGUUAUAGUACUCCACGCUCCACAGGCAACAACAGUGAAUACUCUCCCUCACGCAUGGAUAAGUUCAAUCGCUAACGUUCGUAGCCCUCUGCCCCCUCCCGUCCCUAGCUGCCCUACCCGGCCAGAAUAACCAGAUGACAGCCAAGCCGUGGAGGGCGAUCCGUCCUUUGCCCAGUUGCCCCCGUGCGAUCAUUACCUCCCCAGAUCCGAGCUGCUCCCACCCUCCCACCGUGUCACGAUCGAAGAACUGCAUGCACCAUGCAUCCGCGACCGCGACGGCGCGGCGGCACCGCAACCGGCCGCGGCCCAUGCAUAUCCCCCACGCGCGGUUUUGACGAGCCGCACGCAAGCCACGCGCACCGGCAGGUUGCCGGCUACCGACGAGCGCUCCCUCGCGGUCGCGGGCGGGCGGGGCGCGGUGUGCCGGUGUCGCGGCGGAGGCAUGGGCACUUGUCGCGGAUGGGAUGCGCAUGCGCGGAUCUGGGGAGACGCACAUGCCGCGGCGGGGAGAGGAGAGACGUGACGCGCGGUGCGGGUUUCUUGGGGGGCGGAAAUGAAUUGGGGGAGGACGUGGACGCUGCCCAAGAUCUGCGUAGCACGCCUGAAGUGCCGUUCCCAUCGGCGAAACGCGAAAUGAUCGUUCGUUUCUUCUCAUCGCCGCGUCAGCGCUUCGAUGAGAAAUACUUCUACAAUACUGGCAUGCUGCUGCUACGACUAACCUAGGCUCGAUUCGGCAAGGCUAUGUAGGAGAUGAUAUUUUGUGGUGGUAUGAACGAGCCACUCGCUCGGGUCACGGCACAUGAGGUGUAUGGUUGUUGGACUGCAGCUCUGCACGCAUCGAGGAGAGAAAAAAAAGGCUGAGAGCAUGUUCUUCGCUCAGAUAAACUAAUCUCUUUAUGUACGAGACUCGCUCUUAAAAAAGGGAUACGAUCCACAUGCGAACAGAAUAAGCAACGGGGAAUUAAUGAUCUAGCAUAAAAAGACCAAGUAAAGACGGGAAAUACAUGGGUGGGGUUUGACGUCGGGUCAAAGAUCGAUCAACCUGUCCGUGUACCACAUGUGCUAAAUCAGGGUUCCUUGUUUAUCACCCUGACGAAACAGGACACAAACCAAAAUGCACUAUAACUACGACUCAGAAAUCAGAAUCCUGCUCAGGGGAAAACGAAAGCGAAUGAUAAAGCUGGACGACGUGUCGACGUUUACGGGAACUUCAAAAGAGAGAGAGAUAGAGAACGCUAACUUUACAGAUCUGAACGAGAUAAUCCAAAGCGGCGAGAAAAAGAAAGCGAAAAAAAAAACAGAAGAGCCAAAUAAACAGACAAGCUGAAAAGGCUAAACCAGUACAGUACUCCAUUAGCGACACAGUAGAAGAUCGUAGAGCUCUGGACCGCUACCACACCAGAGCAGCUCUGUGCUGCUUCUCUUCUCCCCUCUCACACGGCCAUUGUCGACAGCGCAUUCAAGCUCUGCGUUUAUGACACCCAGGAUGUUUACUGCAUACAGUGGCACUUCAGAAUUCCUAUCCUUCAGAGGGAAAGUAGAGUGCAUUUACAGCCGACCUUAUCAUCAUCUCCUGAUAUAUGCAUCUGUACAUCUGCUGUAUUUGAUGUGUGGUCCAGGGUUGCCAAUGUUCAAUUUUCUUACAUGUGCCGUGUUUGAUCACCAAGAUGCCCAAGUCUCUGACCAAAAUGUAUUUUGAUAAAAAAAGAGGAGAAAUUUUCACCCUUUCUGCUAAAAGCUAGGCAGAAACUGGAUACACCUGCAAGUCCCAUACAGCCAUAACCUUCCAGGAGAUAGCGUCAAAAGACCAUACAGGCAUGUGCAAAACGUCCUACUAUUAUUGAAUUCCCAGAGCCAACAAAAUGAUUCAUUUAGAACGUAUGGGUGCUAAAUACAAAAAGAAGAUAUGGUUGAAUACACAUGAAUCAUGAUCUAUUUUACUAGCAUAUCAUAUCACUUCUUGCUAUAACAAAUUUAUAUGCCUAGUCUAGAAGCUACUUGAAUUGCUGGUCUGCUGGAUUAACCAUAGGCACCCUCUCAAUUCUUACAGGCUGAUCGACGCCGUCCACGGAAGGUUUGAUGUAAAGAUUGAACACAACGUUGGUGAAUAUCGUGAGGAUAACAAGUGCAAGUGUUGAGAAUGUUACAUACGUUGGAGAAAAUUCAGGAAGUUCAUCUUUUGAUCCCCGCCCAGUUAUCAUAUCUCGGUCCAUGUAAGGGUCUGUUUCAAGCAAAUCACAGUUAGAUCGGAGUCCAUCUCACUGUGAUGUUAACAUUGUUAAGAACAACUGAUCAAUAAACCAUGAUGCUGAUGCAACGUGGUAGCUCUCCUAAAGACAACUGGAUGGGUUUUCAGAGCAAUAGAGACUCAAGAUGCAAACAUUAUUACUGUGUUUCAAAGCUCUGUCUGCCACUUUUGGAUGGCUUCAUCCCCACUGAACUGUUGCUGUUGUCCUUAGGUUCUUCAUAAAUGACAAUAUGGCAUGUUGUGCUACUGCAUACAGAAGCAAUGAAGCAUUUGUCCAAGUCAUGGGUGAGGCCCCUAUAAACGUUGCAUACUUGCAUAAUGUCAGAGGUUUCAUUAAUUGAGUAGUUUCAGUACAGAGGACUGAUCCAUCUCCACCAAACACUUUAUAAAAAAUAUUUAUAUUUGUUGCUGAGAGAUCUGUCCUGCCGACCUUUUAAAGCUCUUGAUCUGAUCAUUGACAAAGUUAGUAUGAGUGAGCCUAGUAUGUUGCAUAAUGCAUUGAGGUCUCCACGAACAGUUUCAGCCGAUUGAAUGAUCCAUCUCUUCUAUUUUAAACAUAUAUUCCAUCUCCAAAUAUAUAGGUCAUUGCAGGAUAACUAUGGACAACAUCUUAAAACUUUGAUCAAUAGUAUAUGUAAAAGUAGAACACUAUACAUAUAAUUUUGACUACUUAAUCAAUCAUAAUCUCAUUAGAUUUUUUGGGUUAACGAGCUUGAGAAAACGAAGAUGCUUGCACGCACAAACUAGUGUAAGUUUACCACUAAAAGUUUUCAGUUGAUAUCAAUUACUGACCCUGAUGAACAUAGUGAAUUGUUGAUGAAAUGGACACAGCGCACAUGUAAACUGGAAAAGCAAUUUGCCAUGAGCCCAUGAGAGGAGGGACGAGGUAGGCAAAAGCCCAACGGGACGUACCCGGUGGAAGAGGCGGCGCCGGCGGCCGUUCCCUGGGCUCGGAAAGCCCCUCCAGCUGCGAGUCGAGCUCCGCCAGCCGCCGCAGCGCCUCCUCAGCCCGCGGCUCGCGCUCCUCCCCCGACCCCGGCCCCGGCCCCUUCUCCGACGACGAGAAGGCGACCACGUCGGAGCACCGCCUCCUCCCGCUUCCGCCCACUGCACGUGUGUUAUCGGCGAGGAAUCUCAAGCUCGCUCCGCCGACGGCGAUCGCCGGGAACGGGACGAAGCGGAGAUGCAUCCUCGCCGCCGCGCACAGCCGCGAUGUGGAUAACGUACUGAAGGAUUUCUUUUCGAUUUUAGCGAGAUAAUAACUGGGCUGGAUCUAAGCCCAAUAAGGCCCAUUAUUAUCUCACGAUGGGCUUAGCCCAAAAUGGGCCCAGUUUUAGCGGUCGGCGUGGGGGCCCAUAAGAUGGGAUCUCGUGUUCCCCACCGGCCACGGCCAUCAGAUUCGUCGUGUGUAGCGAAGCACUCGACGGAAUCCGGAAGCGAAGCGAGCGGAGAACGCCGACGAGCACACCACCGCCGCCGCCGCCGGCUCACGGUCUACCCACGCGCGUGGAAGCGGGGCGAUGGAGGCGUCGGGAUCCGAGCCGGGGCGGCCAUGGACGGUGUCCGCCACCUGGGCUCCGGCUGGCGGCGCGGCCGUGGAGGACGCCGUCUCGUUCGAGACGUCCGCCGACGACGCGGAGGCCGUCCCCUCCGCCGUCUUCCUUGAACGCCCUUCCCCUGAUGGCGACGGCGACGCUCCUCCCUGCGAGGUCACUGGUGAGUCGUCGUUUUUGACUUGGGGGGUAGCUUAGCUCUCUGGGCUUGUCAGAAUUUUGCGAGUUUGCCGCGGGAUCGCGGUGUUUGCGUUGGUCCGAUCGGAUGCAGGUGCACUCACUGUUGUGAAUUUUAGUUUUGCAGCAUCUAGUCUAGCUUAUGGUCGGAUAAACCCUAGUAGGCUGGUAGAACCAACCGAACCUAGUAGGCUGGUAGAAUCAACCGAAGUGGUUAUCGCUGUUCGAGUUCUAGUGCGUGAAUCAUUCAUAGUUAUCGUUAAAAUGUUCUAAUGCGUAGAGUCCAUGGAUUGGAGGUAUCUGUUUUAGAGAUCCUUUCGUAACUUGAGGAAUCGUUUCGACUUUCGACUAAUACCUUAAGAUAAAAAUUAUGACAGGUUAGUAUGUCAUAUAACGGAUUCAUUUGCUACUGUCUACUGGUUAUUGUUUGCGUGAUACUCUUAAACUUAAGCUUCUUAUGCUUCCAUGACCAGAGCAUUCUUAAUUGAUAACUGAUAGUUUGCGUUACUAUUUAGGAAAAUAUCUGGCUAAGUUUUUACUACUUUAGAUUUGAUUUUUCCAUCAGUGGUAAGCGGUAAGUGUAGAUACCUAGUCUUGUAGUGAAGCUGUUGCACUGUGAACAGUCCAAGCAUCAUCGAUCAUACUGAAGUCUCAAUGAUGUAUUUGUUCAAUUCCUUUGUACUGUCAAUUUGCAGAAAUUGGAGCUACCUGAUAUUAGGAAUUCAAACAAUUUAUUGAAUUGGUGGCAUUUCUUUUUGGAAGAUGAGGAUUGGGUGAUAUUACCACAGAAAGCUCUAAGCACUGUAUACUUGCAGAAAUUGUAGAGUUGCUAAUAUUAGGAAAGUAUCUGUACUAUAGUUUCGUCAUCCUCAUCAAACUACUACUAGUAUUUCUUUUAUGAAAGUAAAAGGAACUGGCAGUAUUCCAUUGAAAGUUGAAACCUUUACAUGGAAUUCUGUAUAAACUACAAAGCCCAUCGUGCCGAAUUUAGAGUCGAUUUUCUUUUCAUUGAUUCAUUGUAUAAAUUUCAAGUCAGUGUCUCACAUCUCAUAGCAUAUACAGCACAGUACCUAGCAUGAUGAAAAUCUAAGCUAUUUUUCCAUUUCAGUAUGCAUAUAUCUGAUUCACAGCUGUUCAUCAGUUCAUUUCAGGGGAAAGUAUGAGAUUCACAGGGUGUAUGUGCGAAGCACAGCUCGGAUUUAUGAAAUAUACUAUACAACUGACCCCAAGGAUAGCUCUAAGGAUUAUCUAUGCACUGUGCGUUGUGGACCUGCAGUUAAAGAGCCACUCCCCUCUGCUGAAGAAAGUAUGCCCCAAUGGAGUAGUGAUGCCUCAACUAGUGAAAAGCAUGAGCAUGAAACCAAAAGCGUAAGCAGUAGUAUUGAUGAAGAUAGCUGGGUUGAUGUCAAAAUCCCAGAGUUACAUGUGGAAAAGAACAGAUCUAAAUCUCAAGAACCUAAUGCAAUUGGAGUCAAACAGGAAACCACUCUGGUAAAGCCUUAUUUCUUGGUUUGUAUCAUGAAAGAUUGUUAAAUACUCAACCAUAAACUUCUGCUGGGAGUGCUCCUAUUGUGAUAUUAGCUUCUAAAAUUUUUCUGUAACUUUGUUUCGCUAUGUGGAAUGCAGGCACACUAUGAAGCAACUGCUGAGAUAACUGAUGCAAGCCCAUGUGUAUCUCUAACUGUUCGCCUCCUUUCACUUCAGUCAAAAACAUCAGUGCACAUCGAGGAGAUUUACAUAUUUGCUGAUCCUGUUGAGCCAACCAAUGAUGAAUCAGAAACACGUCCUGGAAACAUGGGAGGUAGUUCUUUGUUGGCUAUGCUUGUCCCUAGCCUCAUGCAAAUGUCCAAAUCAAGGAACCAGAAAACGGACAAUAAAUAUUUUUCUGAUGCCUCAAGGACUCAGCUUUCCCAAGGUUGUGCAAUGGCAGUGAAUAAUAGUCCAUGUGAAAAUGUAGUGCGAGAUGCAGAGCCGUGUAGCACAGAUGAUUUAAAUUUCAAGUCAGCAGGGAUGGAAAGCAAACUAAAUGCUAUAGAUGGCGAUACAAUAACUUAUGAAAAAGGCAACCAUUAUGAGCUAAAGGAUUCCAAGUCUAUUCUAUUGCCUAUACAAACAACAGAAAAUACACAAGCUCCUUUGACAAAGAACCAGAGUGUGUCAAAUACAGAUCAGCCUGUUACUCCUCUCAUGGAUGAAAAUCCAAAUCCUUACAGUCGCAUUGAGGGAAAGCUGGAUACUCUUCUCUCUAAGAUGGAGAAGAUGGAACUAUACUGCUCCAGGUUUGACGAUGGUAUGAUGAGGCCUAUCUGUAGCAUCGAGUCAAGGCUUCAGCGAUUGGAACAACAGUUUGAUGUGUUCUCUAUGGAGAUUAAGACUUUACAAGCUUCUUCUGCAAGAAUGACAGCCCCAGAUGGUUUAUCUGAUAUGAUUAAUCCACAGGAUAAAACAGAUAAUGAUGGUAAGGCUGAAAAUUCUGCUUCCACAACCAACAGGCAGCCAGGUCUGGUUGUCAGAGCACCAGAGUUUUCUUUAGAAGAAUCCUUCAGUUGCGAUAAGUCCAAUGAAAAUGCAGUUACCUUACGUGGACCGAGCAUGGUGCCAAGGCUUCUUGUUAAGGCUCCUGAUUUUGUUUCUGAAUCUGAGUUUGCUUGUGAGAAGCUUCAUGAUGGGUCUUUCUCACCAGUUGAUUUUGCUCUGUCUUCUGAGAAAGAACCUAAAACUUCCCCAGGUUUAGUUGUCAAGGUUCCAGAAUUUCCAAAUGAUUCAGAUGAUGAAUUGGAGGAAGAGAAAGAAACAGAAGUUGGUGAUCAUGAUGAUGGUCAUACAAAAUCUGAUGCUGCUUUGAGUGAAAGCACUGUUGACAGCUUCAAAAGCAAAUCUCAUGUAUCUGUCGAUGGUGCUCUAGCAUCAGCCUUGGAGGCACUUCUUGGUUCAACCAAGAAAACACCAUCUUCGCAAUCUGCUGCUUGCCCUGCCAGUAAUUCAACUGCUGAAAAUACUACUGAUUCUUCUACCUGCCCAUUUUCUUCUGAACAAGUUGAUGAGACAUCCACUAAUGAUGGCUCGGCUGGCCAAUUAUCUGGUACAUUCGUUGAUGCAAAUAAGGUCAAUACCUUCAUAUCUUGUGAGGAAGCAGAUGCAGUUCCACAAACUUAUAUCUCUAAGGCAAACUUGAAGGCUGAGGUAAACGAUCUGAAUAAUGUUCUCGAUUUGAACAUGAUGGCAUUUGCUGAAAGCACAGAACCCUUGUGUGUUCCACAGCUUCACACAGUUGAGGAAUCUAAAGAUGUUGGAAGCCAAGCAAAUCUAAAGAAUAAUGGCUCUAGUUCAUACAUGAUGCAAUCCAUUGCAAACACUGAGCACAUCAUCGCUCCUUCUCAGCUUCCUACUGUCUUGGAAUCUAUUAAUGAUGGACAACAGUUGAAUGGCAACAGAUCUACCUUGUCCUUGGCAGAGUUUCUUGUGGCAAGAAAUGCUAACUUUAGUAAGAAUGUGAUUUCUGAAGCAUUAUCUAGUAAUGGUGGUGCUGAAAUGCAUACCUUCAAGAGAACAUCGAUGGAAUCUGCUAAGAAUAUAAAGGAUAUCAAUCAACUUCUGCUGCAGAAAGCUCUAGAGGUUAAUGAGGAUGACAGUGCUAAGUUUUCUGUUUCUGGUGGGAUGAACUCUUGUUGUCUUAGAGCCUUUACUGAUUCCAAGAAAAGAUGCAUUGAGAGCAGCGGCUUGGAGGCAAGCCUCAAUGAUAGCUUUACAAAAUCAGAGGUAGAGCACUCCUUGUCAGAUUUGUGUAGUAUGGAAUCAUUUAGUGCAGAACCUGCUAGAGAAGCUGUCGGCUCAGGUGGUGUCACAGCUGGAAAUUGUGUUGAUGAUCCUUUUACAGGUAGUUCUACUGUAAACCCAACUGCAGGCGAAGAGCUGCAAAAGGUGUGUGACUUGCUUUACGAGUACAAUGAUGAUGUUUUAGGCAUGGCUUUCGUGGCAAAGAAAACAAGUAAGAGCAGCCCUUCUCUCGAAGUCCUACUUGCUGAAUCAUCUGAUUCGGAAGCGGAAAUUUCUGAUGCGAAGGACACUGACAAUGAUGCUGGCUUAAGUUCAGCUAGGUUGUUUAGUACAUUCUCGUCUUCAGAUGAUGAAGCUCCUCGCACUGAUGAACCUAUAAUUGAUGUAGUUGAUCUGCCAACACCAUUGGAUGCAUAUGCUUCUUCCAAGAACGAGCUGGUUGAUGAUGAGUCUUUGCUUGAUAUGGAUGAUCCGCCAAUUCCUCCAGAGUCGUAUGCUUCUGUCCUAAGCGACAUGCAUCAUGCAUGUCUAAAUGAUCAAUCAAAACCUUCAGGGACAUUCGCUGGAGAGGGCAAUGGAGAGUAUCCUGACAGCCUUAUAUAGGUUCAAUCAACAUUGUCCCACUUGUUAGAAAUAAGUCGAACAUACUCAAAAAGCCUCAGCUGCACUACUUUUUUUGUUGGUUUUACUGUACAUAUAUCAACGUUUGCUUCCACGCCCAUGCGGUUUUCUGUACAUAUAAGACUUACUGUGAGUAAACAAUUUACCUUUUGGUAUUACCUGUGUACACUUAUCACCUGUCCUUUCACAGUUUCACUGCUGGCCAUUCAACCUUAAGCAGUCAGCAAGUAAGCAUCACAAGAAAAGGCUGAAAAGCGCCCAGAUUUCCACUCUAUACAGUUACCAUCUUGUGACUUCGUCUUUUCACGUGGUUGACGAAUAUCCUGAACUACCAGAGACCGACUCAUCAUUCCAAACCAGGUAUGACUUAUUAUGAGGUAAAUUAUGUUCACCACCGUAGAGUUGGAUUGCCCGAUUUACUGCAACUGUUUCAUUCAUACCUUCUCUGAUCCACUGUAACUGCUAGGAAAUUUCUUUCUUUCUUUCUCUAAUCAUGCAACCAGGUAUGUCUAAUGUUCACCGUAGAGUUGGAUUGCACGAUUUACUCGAUUGUUUCAUACCUUCUCUGAUCCUUGUGAUCCACUGUAACUGUUAGGAUCUUUCUUUCUUUUUUUCCCCUCUAAUCAUGCAUUCAUGCAGCCACUUAUUUCUAGCAGGUCAGUUUCUGGAACACGCCAUGUUACGUGAUGAAACACAAGAACAGGGCUACAUAAUGUACACAUGUGAGCUUGCUUGGCGCCCCAGCGGUCUGCACCACAUGGACUAAUCCUUAAUUCCUCAUGCCAUGGGCCAGGUGAAAUCGUCGUCCCACACGGUACAGCUACAGCAUUAACACUGCAGCCGGCCAGCCUUCGCCAUGGCGUCCAAGUUCAAGGAAAGCAUGGAUUCGUAUCAAUUUGCGGCUCAACUGAAAAGGCGCGGACGUACAGAAAUUUCAGGUAUGGUCGGAUCCAAACUUAUUAGGAUUGGUCGCUUUCUUAUUGGAUGAUACUGUGCGAGAUUUUCCCACAAGAAUCUGUGCGUAUACGGACUUUGGAAUAGAGUCAAUGCACCGCGAUCACACCAUCACUUGUCUAGGAGCACUUUCACUGUGUGACCAUAUCCAAUCUAAACAGAAAUAUAGCCACAAGAAAAUGUAGGGGGGUGCUGUUUGUCGGAAAACACCCUUAUCAAAAACAUUGGUAUUAUCAAACUUUGGUACGAUAACAAAUUGAACAAUGAAACAGCUCCAACUAUCAUAGCGCUACCAAAAUUUGAUAAUUUUUGGAACCUUACACUAAAUCUGGUAAGACCUCAAACCAAACAUCACCAUCCCUAUCGUUACCUUACCAAGUAAAGCAAAACUUGUUAAGAUUAUUUUGGCAUUUCUGCCCUUUCGUCCGUCGCUCUUCUCAUGCGGCAUAUUCGACUCUUAAUUACUCGGCCCAGACCCAACGCUGGCCUUACAAAUCUCUCGUUUAUCAACCAUCAUCAAUAACCUUAUCAAAUUUGGAUAAUUAUAGAACUUUGCAUUCUACAUCAAAAUCUGAUAAGGCCUCGAACCAGAUGUCACCAUCACAUCUUUAACAUAUUAAAAUUUGGUAAGGUUUAUUUUUAUUACAAACCAAACAUGCGCAUAAAUCUCAUCACUCUCUUCACUGUGCCCAAUUUAAACGGAAUAUUUUAGUAAGAAGAAACAUCUUAAUCUUACCGCACAAUGGAAUCUGAAUACGGCUUCAGUUUAACUAAGUUAUCUGAAUACGGCUUCAGUUUAACUAAGUUAAAAAAAAACUCGAAUACUCCAUAUUAAAAACUGCUAUAAAAAUCCAGAGAUCAGUUUUUUUUUUAAAAAAGCAGAGAUGCAGAUGAUGGGAUAAUCCAACUGUCGACUGGAUUGCAAAUGGCACUUUCAGAUAUACUGGUACCAUAAUAGUACUGUUUAAUAACUGCAGUUCCUCUCGAAGUCUCACCUUUGUUAGUGUGAGAGCGAGCUGAUGUGACAUUUGACAAACAACUCAAUCCUCAAUUCAGGCACUUUGUCCUCGAUGUGUUAUUUACAGCUACGCAGUAAACUCGUCAGGACAAUAUGAAAGAUCAACACACGUUCUAAUGCUCAAACUCAAUUAUUCAAAGUGAAACCGCCAAACCGGUGGGUCACAUGCCGGAAUCAAGGCGGUAGGGUUCAGUACUCUAUGCUCAAGUCCUCUUCCUAAAUGGUGCAUUCAUGUCCUUUUGUCAAAAUAUUGUUAAGCACUUAUGAAGCCAUAAAAGAAGCAGGACAAGGUGCCGGACUGCAGAGAAACUUCACUCGUACUCCUACAUAGAAUGAAGUGAAGGAAGCCACUGAAAUGGUGGUCAAGCAAUUACACAAAACAGGUAGCUCCAUAUCUUGUUCAUAUUGACAUACACAAUCCUUGAUGAUGACAAAAAACAAAUUACAGGCAGCUCUUGUCCCCCUCACCAUAAGCUAUAAGGGGCAGAGCACCAUCCAACUUAUGCUAUUUACUUGUUCUGUCUGUCCCUCCCAACUUUGCAAUACCCUUAUCAAGCACAAGAAAGUAAAGAGAACAAGAAAAAAAGAAAAAAAAGAGAGGAUAUGAUGACAGUACAUCAUACAUGUGGAUACAACACUAAAACGAGAGUUCCACACAGCAACCACAUCACAGCACUGAUCCCUGCGUGUGAAGCGAAGCGGUGAACGAUCAGCCGCCGGCGCCGGCGACGACGACGACGGCGACGGCGGCGAGCAAAGCAGAGAGGAGGAGGAGGAGGGGAAGAGGGUGGCGCGGUCGCUCAGAAGAAGGAGCGCUUGGAUGGCGCCCUCCCCACGGCCCUCAUGAAGUUGGCGAGCUCCAGCACGCGCGCCACCUUGGUGCCCCUCUUCGCCUCCGCCGACGCCCGCUUCUCCUCCGCCUUCCGCCGCGCCUUCGCCACCUCGUUCUGCGCCUUCUCCAUCGCCUUGGCCCUCUUCUCCUCCAGCUUCCUCUGCAACACACCCCCAAUUCCAUCAGAAUCCAGAGCUCGAUUGGUAGAAAUCAAUGGCGAUUAGAUGAUGGAUUUCGUUUUGGUUUCUUGUUUUACCUCGUACUUCUUGAGCCAGGCGUUGGCCUUCUCGACCUGGUCGCCCUCCCAGCCAUUGAUGACGACCUCCUCGCGCUUGAAGCGGUUGUUGACCUUGGCGACCUCGGCGAUCUGCCACGCGGCGAUCUUGGACUCCACCUCCUCCUUCUUCACCUGCCCCACCGACACCUCGUCGCCGUGGCCGCCGCCCGCCGACGACACGUCGCCGGGGGCGGGGAGCGCGAGGUGGGCGCGGCGAGGGGACGGGAUGGGGUUGCUGUCCGGGACGAUGGCGAGCGGGUUCGUCUCCUCGAGCUCAUCCUCCCCGAUCCUCCCCAGCGCGUCGUCCACCCCGGCGCGGCUGGAGUCGCCGCCGUUCGCGGCUGCGGCGGCGGCGGCGUUGGCGUUGGCUGCUGCGGCGACCAUGGCCGAGAACUCCCUGCUCAUAGUAGGGAAGAGCUCACUUGGGGCGGUGUCGCUCCCCACGGAGCGGAUCGACGUGUGCCUGCUCCCCGCCGCGGACUCCCACGACUCCCUCCUCCGCCGGUGGUACGACGACGACGGCUGGCUCGGCGUCGGCGUCGGCGGCGGGCUCAGCGCGUGGAUGUCCCUGAACUCCGGCUCCUCGAGCUCCUCCUCCACCACCACCUCCUCCUCCCUCUCCUCACCCCCGCUGCUUCUGACGACGAUCUCCCGGCCGGUGCUGAUGACAAUCUCCCGGUCGUCGGCGCCGCGGCUGCUGCUGCUGCUACCACUAGCCGCCGUUUGUUCACUCAACAUGUGUCGCCGCCGUGGGUGAGGUCGUCGUCGCCGUCGCCGCCGCCGCCGCCGCUAGUGCUCAGCCACUAGCACACACGCGUAACCAUCGGCGUCUUGCUCUUCUUCCUCCUCUUCGCUUCUCCGAGCUGAGCUGUGGUGGUGAGUGGUGAGUAGGAUCGGAUGCCUAGCUUGGUUAAAUAGGCGGGAGAAGAGGGGGAGGUGGGCCCGGGCGUGUCAGUGUCGCUGAGCCAGUGCCCGCCAUUGGAGGGGCAGUUUGGGUAUUUCCGUUUCGAUCCCCAUUUCGUGUGCCUUUUGGGCGGCUUCGUCUCGCUUUCUGAUUUUGGAGGGGUCUGUGUGUGUGUGUUUAUUUUUGGGGGGUAAGGUUUAGAGGUUAGAGUGUGCAAAGUGCGCUGACUCACACAAUCAUAUAGUUUUAACAUUAACAAGCGCCGUAUGAUUAUUUUUUCCCUUUGAUUAGUAGUACAGGUUUGGAUUGGAUACGUCACCCAUUUUUUAGGGCAAAGAGCGUGAAGGUUCUAGCCUUCUCUCUUCCUACAUGUUUAGUUACGUACUUCCACUGUACGAUCAUGCGUCGCCGUAAAAUAUUUUAAAAUGGAUCGAUAAAUAUUACUCACUCCGUCCCAAUAAAAAUCAGGAAAUCAAUCUAUGUUGAUUUUUAUUAGGACGCUAAGUUACUUUUUAUCGAGACGGAGGGAUUAGUUGUUUUUUAAUGGACUAGAUUGAUGUUCUAAAUAGAUUAAUUAAUAUAAUACUCCAUUUAGGGGCGGGACAUACGAUAGAUUAUCUAAUUUUGUGAUGAUAAUCGACUAUACAAACGAAUGAAUUAAUUGUGAAAAAAUAGAUAAGUUGUUCUAAAAUAUUAUUCUAAACAGUUUAUAUAUAGAAAGUUUUUAAAAUACCAUGUUUCUAAACUUGUAAAACGUGUCUACGAUAAUCUAUAAUUUAUUGAGGAAAAGAACCAGCCUCAAACCAAUUGCUACAUGCUAUAGUGGUUUGGGUCAGGCGGUGAUGAGGACAUCCUCCACUAUUAUCCGCUGGCAGAGACGCUAAAGUCGGGCGGCGACCGUGUGAGCCUCUGAAUAAUCCCACCUUGCUUAGCUAAUCCCACCUUACUUAGCUUAGAAGGAGGAAGCCACCUUAAAAAGGAGAGCCACCCUUCCCCUACCGGACUAGUCUUUUAGGGAGAUUGGGCCUUUCCCUGAGUGGGUGUGCUAAAGAACUGUUGGGGUCCGGACAACCUUAAGUUAUUGGGCCUCGGCCGACCCCACCUGGGCCGGAUUGUUAUCAGGCGGCCGCAAUGACCUUACACAAAAUAUAUGGUUAAAUGAAUAUAACAUCAUUGGCUUCGACAUAAAUGGUACUCCGUUUCAGGUCAUAAGAUGUCUCCGUUUCAGGUUAUAAGAUGUUUUGACUUUAGUUAAAAUUAAAUUGCUCUAAGUUUGGCUAAGUUUAUAAAAAAUAAUAUUUUUUACAAAGAUAAAUUUAUUAUAAAAAUAUAUUUAAUUAUUAAUUUAAUAAAACUAAUUUGGUAAUAUAAAUAUUACUAUAUUUACCUAUAAGGGCCCCUUUGAAUCGCAGGGUAGAAAAAACGGAGGAAUAGAAAAAACGCAGGAUUCUGAUAGGAAUUGAAGUGUAAAACAGAGGAUUGCAAAACACAGGAAAAACACAGGAAUGGUCGUUUGAUUGGAGCGCAGGAAAAACGCAGGAAUCGGAUGAGAAAGAUAGACUCAAAGGAAAUUUUCCAAGAGGUUGGAGCUCUUGCUAAAUUUUCUUCAAAAUCCACAUGCAAUGUGCCAUUCCAUAGGAAUUUCAUAGGAUUUGGAAAGUUUCAAUCCUUUGAAUCAAAGGGCCAAAUAGAAAAAUUUCCUAUAGGAUUUGAAUCCUAUGAAAUUCCUACAUAAAUCCUUUAAUUCAAAGGGGCCCUAAACCUAGUUAAACUUAAAGCUGUUUAACUUUGAUUAAAAUUAAAACAUCUUAUAACCUGAAAGCCACGGAGUACUACUCAUAUGAUGUCAGCGACUCAGCGUAUCAAAUAUACACAUAUAUACCCACCCCUACCGAACGAACUACAAGUCGGUAUAACCGGCGAACCUUCGAGUGAUUCUGCCGCCGCAUGCAAACGAAGGGCCUGUUUAGAUGGGAUUAAAACUUUUAAGUCCCUAUCACAUCGGAUGUUUGAAUAUUAAUUAUAAAUAUUAAACGUAUACUAUUAAUAAAACCCAUCCAUAAUCUUGGACUAAUUCGCGAGACGAAUCUAUUGAGCCUAACUAAUCUAUGAUUAGCCUAUAUGAUGCUACAGUAAACAUUCUCUAAUUAUGGAUUAAUUAGGCUUAAAAAAUUUGUCUCGUGAAUUAGCUUUCAUUUAUAUAAUUAGUUUUGUAAGUAGUCUAUAUUUAAUACUCUAAAUUAGUGUAUAAAGACAGGGACUAAAGUUAAAUCUCUGGAUCCAAACACCACCGAAGUCUCGUGCACUCCUGUCCCGAGAGAGUUCAGUCAAACGCAUUCCCAGCGGAUAAAAUAAAUGAAGAUUUGGUGAUUAGGCCGUGUCAACUUCACCCCCCCCCCCCACCCCCACCAAAAAAAAAGAAGAUUUACGAUUCAAAUGUCAUCACCGAAUUGUUUACUGGUUACUUCGCGAGCAGGGAGGCGGUGAGUUACCUACGUAGUACGUGUGUGCUGGUUUAGAGCAACGUUGACAGCGACGUUUUAUUAAUUCUUACACACACGUAAGAGGUACUACUACCACGUCUCAUAAUAAUUCUUACACUGUUUGACCACUCGUUUUAUUUAAGAAAAUUUAGAAUUAUUAUUUAUUAUUUAUUGACUUACUUUAUUAUCCAAAGUAUUUUAAGCAUAAUUUUUUAUUUUUUUAUAUUUGCAUAAAUGUUUUUGAAUAAGAUAAGUGAUCAAACAGUGCAAACAAAAACUCAAAAUUUCUCAUAUUACUCCAAUUUAACAGAAGGAGUAGUAAUUAUCAUCGUUUGCAUGGAGGCGAUGGGUAAUCAAAAGACGUGGUCGGCCGCGGUUAACCCCGUCUCGCUGUCACGGAGUUAAAGCGGGUGUGUGUUAGCGAAAGGGGGUUAGGAUUAUUUUGAGGCCGUUGCGAAUUAGCGGCGGAGCCGUGUGGGGCCCAGCCCGCUUGCAUUAUCCUACUACUCUAUUAUACACCGGGUUAGGCGCAGACAAGGUGGGCCCGGGGGUGUCUCCGCGGGUGGGCCCCACGGGUGGAGAUCGACGGCGGAGAUGCGUUUGGUGUGGUGCCUGUCAGAGAUCAGAACGAACAAACCCGUCAGGUGAGGCGUUGGCCGUUGGCCCGACUAGAUAGAUAGGGGGUGUGCCACUAUGGGGGUGUUUGGGAGAGAGGGGCUAAACUUUAGCCCCUCUCUCAAAACCAUAAGUCUCUAGGAGAGGGACUUAUGGUUUUGAGAGAGGGGCUAAAGUUUAGCCCCUCUCUCCCAAACACCCCCUAUAUCUACCAGUAUGCCGGUAUGGUCGUCUACUCGUCUCAUGUUUCAUGCUGCGAGCCUGCAAAAAUAGUAGUGGCCUUUUUUACUAGCACGUUUCUACAUCGACGACACACCACGUGGCCAUGCCUGCAACAGUGCUUAGAUGGAGAUUAGCCAUGAUCAUUGUUACUAUGGUGUUCAAGUGAAUAGGGGCAGGGGUGAAAACGAGAGGGGGAAACACCGGAGCAAGUUACCGAAUGUUACUAGUUACUACUUACUAUUUCCUCCGUUUCACAAUGUAAGUCAUUCUAGCAUUUCUCACAUUCGUAUUGAUGUUAAUGAAUCUAGACACGAAUGUGAAAAAUACUAGAAUGACUUACAUUGUGAAACGGAGGGAGUACUCGUGUAUUACUUUCGUCCACAAAUAUUUUUUUAGCUACAUACAUUCACAAAGUAACGAGAGCUACAUUAGGUUUCAUGUGGUGAAACCUAUUCAUCUAAGUUAAAGUUCUAAAUUUAAUAUAGACAAGAAAAAACUACCCAUACGUUACAAUAAGUGAAGGCUAUUUUAAUAUAUUAUUGUUAGAAUUUUUGUCUAAAAAAUAUAUGGGAUUUUUAUUUUGAUAGUAUUGAUAUCUAAUUUGGAACCCUUAUUAAGAUGAUGGUCAUAUCAUGUACGCCUGACGAGAAUUCUAAAGCAAUUAAGAAUCAGACUCCCAUCCUAGGUUUGCAUGUGAGUUUUUUUAAAAAAGAUUUCUUAUAUGACUCCUUAUAUAUUUUCAAAAGCGAACAAACUUAGAAACCAAGUCAAAUACGAAUAACAUGCUAAAGUAUCAGCGAAAAUAUUUUUAAUUUUUAUAAUAAUGGAGAAGAGAUAGAGAUACCAAUACCGAAAGAGAAAAUGAGGGGAAAAGAGAAGAGAUUGAAAGAAGAGGGAGAGAAUUAGGAUUAUCGGGAAAAAGAAAAAGAGAAAAGAGUAAAAAAAAAGACAGUCAAGGGAAGAGCACAUGACUUCGAGUGGAUGCACGCGGGAUGGUACGGGUCGAUUGGGUUGUGUUGGGCUAGGAGAGGGAUGGGUGGGAUUAGGCUGGGGAGGAGGUGUACAGUACUCCAUCCAUCUACUUUUGAUAGGUAUAUUUCCAAAUCUGAAAAAUUUACUUUUGAAAUGCAUAUUUUAAUCCAACCACCUAUCAUCUUAAUGACUUUCUCGGAUUUAAUGCGUGACUUUCCAUUCUUUCACAUAAGACUGGUUACAUGGGCAUCAAGAAAUAUAAAUAUUAAUGAAUCGAUUGUUUACGAUGAAUAACUAGUAACAUGUUUAAAUGGAUGAUAAGUAGAAUUACUUAUCCUUGGUCAUUGUGUGAAAUAUGACUAUAAAAAGUAGAUGGAUGGAGUAGUUAUUUUAGGCUCGAGCUGAACUGGAUGCGGACGACGUACAACCUAGACACCGAUAACGAAAUAAAAUUCCGACAAAAACAUCUUCAAAUUUUAUAAUAGUAGAUAUAUGAUAUGCUCUCAUUUACACAUAAACUUUUAAGUAAUUUUAAGUUUAGAUAACAUAUCUGUUAAUAUCUGUUAACAGUGAGGUGUUUAUGGUAAUUUCGUCAAAUUUAAAAUAUAUCCAUUUAGUUUCUUACAAGUGCUAAUAAUGUGUCCCUGUAUUCACAGGGGAUUAGUAUGCACACAUGUAUAUGAAUUUGAAUAUCUAUUGUAUUGUGCUUGUAUGAGAAAAAGACGCAUGGUCGUGUCGCUUGUAUGAGUAUACGUCUUUUACCCUUUCCACGCGCGGAGCUUCGCUAGCUGUAUUCCGGCUGUACAACGUUGGACGCACGGCCAGGGGAAGAAGAGUGUAGAACACGCGGUGCAUGCGAUGCGAUGCGAUGAGCUCACUCGAACCGCGACCGAUCGAAACGACCGCGCGCAUGACGAUGACGUGCACGCACGUAGCAAUCAGUCAAACACAGCCACCAAAAAAAAUCACAGCAUAAUCCAAAAUUCGUCUUGCUUAAUUUAUGCCUCUACUUUGCAUUACUUUACAGCCUGUGAAAGUGAGAACGAAUGUUUUUGUCACCUGCAUGCCGCUGAUAUUUGACGCGGCCAAAACACACCCGUCUGCCAAAAUAAAACCACACGUUUUUCCCUCUACGAAAUACUACAACCGUCCAAAAAUACUCAACUUAAAAGAGGAUGUAACCUCUUCUGAUACAAUGUAUUUAGACAAAAAGCUAUCCAGAUUCAUUAUACUAAGAGCAAGUUUAAUAGUAUAGCCAACUAAUAGCUCCAAUUUAUCUAUAGCUAAUCUAGUAGCUCAUUUAUACAAUAGUUACGUACUACACUAUUAAUACCUGGUCUCACCUGUCAUACACAUAUUGCGUCUCGAAGUCCGUGCUAUAGCUGGCUACAAAUGUAUAGCCCGCUGCUCUUCUCUCUCCUUAUUUAUCUUAUUAAAAUAUGUUUGCAGCUGGUUUAUAAUCUGCUAUUGUACCUGCUUAAAAGACGUGGUUGAGUUUUUUUAAGAACGAAAAGAGUACUAAUCAGGAAAUUUGAAUUUGGUUGUGACAAGAAAAGGAUCUUGUUAUCAAGGGUAGACGUCAUGAGAUUGAGAAGGAUCACGACAUGUAAACUCCAUGUCAGUGACUCGGUCGCAAUUUCGCAGUGCUUAGGUGGUCUUUGAAUUUAGGGAUUUAACUUUAGUUUUUUAUUUAGACACUAAUUUAGAGUAUUAAAUAUAGACUAUUUAGAGAACUAAUUACAUAAAUGAAAGCUAAUUUGGGAGACAAAUUUUUUAAGUCUAAUUAAUUCAUAAUUAGAGAAUGUUUUACUGUAGCAUUAUAUUCUAAUCAUGGAUUAAUUAGGCUUAAUAGAUUCGUCUCGCGAAUUAGUCCAAAAUUAUGGAUGGGUUUUAUUAAUAGUCUAUGUUAAUAUUUAUAAUUAGUGUCCAAACAUUUGAUGUGAUAGGAACUUAAAAGUUUAUAGUCCCAUCUAAACAGGGUUAGACUAUAGAUUUUGCAGGGGGCCAGUGCUGGAUACAACGGAGGAAACAAACAAAGGGAAGAGAUGGCAGGAGGUAGUAGUAGCAAGGAUCCUCUGUAACAACCAUAUCUACAACGAUCGUUGCAGAUUCGACUAUAAUUUGACUGGCCCCAGCAGGCAAUGGAUGCUCCGAGUGGAGGAGCAGGGAGUUGCAAUCAUGACUAAGAGAAAGCUAAUAGGAUUUGUCAAGUUUGAAGAUUUUCGAAAGAGAUGUCAAGUAUAUAUGAAAGGCAAUACUGCAAAAAUCUAAAAAUGUGCCAAAUUAAGGUGGUACAUUCUCUCAUACAAUUUAUGCAAUAUCUGAUCAAAUAAAGCUCGAACUCUAAGUAGCCGAUGUAUUAGAAGAUUGGAACCCUUGAUGGAUUUCCCUUUCGAUAUAAUUUGGUUAACAGAAUUUAGGUCGAAUGUCCAUAAUCUCCUAACCUUAGAGCAUCUGUAGUGUGAACAAAAAAUCGAUUUUACGACAGGAGAACCAAAUCAUGCACAUUGUAGCUGUCGAACCGUAGGUGUCAAACAACAAAUCGAACUCCACAUUGGAGUCGAACUGAAAGAGUAAAUUAAUAUACUGUGCAUGCAUGCAGGUACGGUUCCAGUGAUUGGCUCAUUCCCUUUUUACAGAUCCCACAAAACAAUUUUAACAUUAUAGCUAUCAAACUGAAAUUUUGUUUGGCUCUUCUAUUAGAUUGAUCAAACCAAACACUACAGAUGCCCCCAGUGCCUUUGCCAACUGUUAGAUAAGUGUAGAAUUUUGCUUUCACUUUUGAAAUGGAAGUACACUAAUAUAUUUGGGAAAUACAAAGCAUAACUUUUAAAAAGGCCAAAUGCGUUUUACACUAAACUUAGCUGGUGCUCUGCUCCGCUCACAGAAGGUGGGUACGCAGAAGAUCAUUGCGGCAGGGAAGUAGUAGUAGGUCAUGGUCAACCUUAACCAUACCCUACCAUGACAGCAGCAGCCCAGGCCCAUCAAUCGCCCACAGCCCCUGCAGGCCCGGGCCCACUCGAGCAGAGGGGCACUGUGAAAAAGGCCCAGUCGGCCCCACCACGUCAUGGGGCGCCAUGCACGCACCGGUCAGACGACGCGGUUGUCGGCCUGGCCGGGGUGCCCAGCCACGUGGGCAGCCCGCGCGCUACCGACAGCGGCCGUGACCCGCGGGGCCCGGCGGCGCGCGCUCUCGCGCGCGCGCGACGUCGUCGAGACCGCGACGCCGACCGAUGGCGAGCGCGCCCGCGCCCCCGCCCCGCGCGCGCGCCGCGCCAGCCACCAUGCGACGACGUCGUACACGCACAGCGCGCCGCGGGCGCGAGCGCGCGCGCUCUGCAGCGUCGCCGCCGCCGAACGCCAUGCCGAUCGAUGCCGCCGGGCGCGCACGCGCGCGCGCGUCACCAUUGUGAUCAUGGCGCGCGCGACGUGACGGCGACACAAGCCAAUCCAUCGCUAGCGACUCGCUUAGUACUAUUAAUUACUCCACUAACUAGCGGCAUGUACAAGAAGCGGUAGGAGAAAUAUCGUGUUUCUGUCUAAUCUUUUCUGUGGUUGUACGCUUGUUUAAUCCUCCUUUUCGUAGGAGUUAAUGACGAUAGGGCUCGAUCAGAGAAUAAAAAUUGGGUUGGUGCGCUGAUCACUUUCGCGGCGAGUGUUGCUGACUUGCAGCAACGCGCGCCACUUGCCGCCGUUCGGUUGGCCUCCGCGGCGGGGGAUGAUAAUAAUGGAUAAUGCUUUAUGCGAGAUACGGCUCUGUUGGUUUUGCAUUUCUUUUUCGUUAGGGUGGUGAGUGCACCGGAGCCAAUAAACAGGUUUAGGUGGAGGACUCGUGUUUUUUUUUAAAGCUCAGCCAUACGCCCAUACGAUAAUUAUUUCAUUUGUUCUUUUAGAUGUGCCUACUAGUUCGUGCUAGUAAUCUAUAGAGCACUUCAGGACUAGAUAGCGAGAAAUCUGUUUUAAGAGAUCAACACGACACCCCUUUGCAUGCGACCUUGGGCGAGUGGCUAGCUAAGCUUGGACUGGUUCCUAAGAUUGCCACUAAAAACAUGUGUCAAAUGGUUGACUGAAUAUAUAUGUAAGGUGUCAGACUUGUCUCAAGAUAUAAUGGUGAUGAGAUCCUUUUGGGACGCACCUGAUCGAUUCUAUGAAUGGACUACAACUCUUUUGAAGUAGCAGAUCAUACUAGUGAGCAAACGCUUAAUAAUGUCACUCAUUCCCUCCGUCUCAGAAAAUACAAUCUAAGAUAGGAACUGUUAUAUAUCCUCGGACAACCAAUCAAGACAAGCACUUAAUCCAGAUUCGUUGUUCUUGAAUGCGUCACAUUCUAUUCUAAGUUAGGUUUUUUUUAUGGAGAAAGUACUUUAGAUUAUAAACAAAACGUAUAUAAUGAUUGAGACAGCUAUGUAAUAUCAUUUAUGUACACAGCCACAUCAACUAAGAACAAAUAAAAAUGGCAUGUACAAGAGACAAUAUGAUAUCUAAUGUCACUCCUCUCAACUGUUUCCUUGUACCCUAUAUUAUCUGAGAUGCCUCUUUGCAAAGAUACAUCUCCUUUCUCUUCUUUCUUUAUCCAUCGACACUUCAUUAAUUAAUUGCAAUGAGUCAUAUGGGGUGGGGGGUGGGGGGGGGAUGGAGGAACUAAGACCAAUUAAGGACUAAAAAUAUCUAGCAGUAGCUGGUCUAGAGCUGAUUACUGGUUACCAAACGAUGAAUUCAGAUUUUAAAAAUUCGACUAUUAUGGAUAACCUAUUCGAUUUUUAUAUUACUGCAAUGUUUUCCCUCCAACUCGUAAUUCAUAAAUAGUAGGGCUGGCCAGCCAGUUGGCAAUUGGGAGUCCAACUCAGAAGACAAUAUUGUGCAUAAUUCAGUUGGCAAUUGUCCGGUUAAUUUUAUUAGUAGGACAAAUUCGUUAUGCCAGUGGCACCUAGUUCGGUAACAAAUUUUGGUGUUAUUGUAGAGGUUGGAUAUAGCGUUUUCAUAUCAAACACUCAAAAGUAGUUUAGAGGUUUUCCCCUGUGUGGAUAUUAUGGGUACCCCAUACCCAUACGGCAUGGUUAUCCGACCAGUCAUAGGGGAUAACUUAUAUCUAUAGAAUAUGUAAUAGAUCAUGACUCGGGUAUUACGUUUCCUUAUAUAUUACGGAACAGCCUAAAGUCCUGGUUUGAUAAUAUUGUAAAGUAGAUUUAGGAAACCGAUACCGUAUUGGUUAAGGUUUCUAUCUUGUAAUCCUGCCCCCCACCCUAUAUAAGGUGGGCAGGAGGCCCUCUAGGGGGCAUGAGACAACCUGAUCGUCAGAUCUAUAAUACACCCGGCGGAUUCAAAUCCCCAAACAGGAGUAGGGUAUUACCUCUCAUUGAGAGGGCCCGAACCUGUCUAAAUCCUUUGUCUCCACAUCCAUCCACUUUUAGGUCUCGUGCGCUACCCCGUUUUAUUAUUGCCGAAAUCAUGUUUCGACAGUUGGCGCGCCAGGUAGGGGUUGCGUCGAGUUUCCUAUCAACGAGCGCGAUGGAAUCAAUUUCAUGAGUCGCCGACUUCGCUUUCGCUUUGGGAGUUUUCACUUCCUUUCCGUCGACCACUUCUUCAAGCUCCUCUUCUCUGACUUGAUCCAAAUCAGUCAGGGGGAAACUCAAUCUGAUUUUUAUCAUUAUUUAUCAUAUUGAUUUUUAAUCUCAGAUUAAUUUCUUGCUAUUUUUUGUUGUUGUUCGCAUAUAACUACGCGGCACUAUUGAGGCGAUUGAUGCUGGUCAUGGACUCGAGGCGUCUCAGCUUUCCGGUCGAUCGGCCGCGAGUCCACUCCGCCGGCUUGUCCUCGCCACCGCCAUUGCUGAUAGCAACAACGACUUCACCGCCGGCCUGCCUCCGUCGCCGCCGACUGGUGUCAUCGCCUAUACGGUUGGUCGGUCACACCACCGUUCAUGGGCGUCCAUGUCUUCACCGACCGGCUGGCCUUCGCCGCCGCCGACUGGUGUUUCCGCCUACACGGCUGGCCUAUUAUGCCGCCGCUGUUGGGCGUCUACGACUUCACCGCCGGCCUGCCUCCGUCGCCGCCGAUUGGUGCCUCCGCCUACACGGCUGGCCUAUUAUGCCGCCGCUGUUGGGCGUCUACGACUUCACCGCCGGCCUGCCUCCGUCGCCGCCGAGUGGUGCCUCCGCCUACACGGCUGGCCUAUUAUGCCGCCGCUGUUGGGCGUCUACGACUUCACCGCCGGCCUGCCUCCGUCGCCGCCGAUUGGUGCCUCCGCCUACACGGCUGGCCUAUUAUGCCGCCGCUGUUGGGCGUCUACGACUUCACCGCCGGCCUGCCUCCGUCGCCGCCGAGUGGUGCCUCCGCCUACACGGCUGGCCUAUUAUGCCGCCGCUGUUGGGCGUCUACGACUUCACCGCCGGCCUGCCUCCGUCGCCGCCGAUUGGUGCCUCCGCCUACACGGCUGGCCUAUUAUGCCGCCGCUGUUGGGCGUCUACGACUUCACCACCGGCCUGCCUCCGUCGCCGCCGACUGGUGUCCCCGCCUAUACGGUCGGUUGGUCACACCACCGUUGAUGGGCAUCGUCAUCUACACCGCCGGCCUGCCUCCGUCGCCGCCGACUGGUGUCCCCGCCUAUACGGUCGGUUGGUCACACCACCGUUGAUGGGCAUCGUCAUCUACACCGCCGGCCUGCCUCCGUCGCCGCCGAGUGGUGCCUCCGCCUACACGGCUGGCCUAUUAUGCCGCCGCUGUUGGGCGUCUACGACUUCACCGCCGGCCUGCCUCCGUCGCCGCCGAGUGGUGCCUCCGCCUACACGGCUGGCCUAUUAUGCCGCUGCUGUUGGGCGUCUACGACUUCACCGCCGGCCCGCCUCCGUCGCCGCCGAGUGGUGCCUCCGCCUACACGGCUGGCCUAUUAUGUCGCCGCUGUUGGGCGUCUACGACUUCACCGCCGGCCCGCCUCCGUCGCCGCCGAUUGGUGCCUCCGCCUACACGGCUGGCCUAUUAUGCCGCCGCUGUUGGGCGUCUACGACUUCACCGCCGGCCUGCCUCCGUCGCCGCCGAUUGGUGCCUCCGCCUACACGGCUGGCCUAUUAUGCCGCCGCUGUUGGGCGUCUACGACUUCACCACCGGCCUGCCUCCGUCGCCGCCGACUGGUGUCCCCGCCUAUACGGUCGGUUGGUCACACCACCGUUGAUGGGCAUCGUCAUCUACACCGCCGGCCUGCCUCCGUCGCCGCCGACUGGUGUCCCCGCCUAUACGGUCGGUUGGUCACACCACCGUUGAUGGGCAUCGUCAUCUACACCGCCGGCCUGCCUCCGUCGCCGCCGAGUGGUGCCUCCGCCUACACGGCUGACCUAUUAUGCCGCCGCUGUUGGGCGUCUACGACUUCACCGCCGGCCUGCCUCCGUCGCCGCCGAGUGGUGCCUCCGCCUACACGGCUGGCCUAUUAUGCCGCUGCUGUUGGGCGUCUACGACUUCACCGCCGGCCCGCCUCCGUCGCCGCCGAGUGGUGCCUCCGCCUACACGGCUGGCCUAUUAUGCCGCCGCUGUUGGGCGUCUACGACUUCACCGCCGGCCCGCCUCCGUCGCCGCCGAUUGGUGCCUCCGCCUACACGGCUGGCCUAUUAUGCCGCCGCUGUUGGGCGUCUACGACUUCACCGCCGGCCUGCCUCCGUCGCCGCCGAGUGGUGCCUCCGCCUACACGGCUGGCCUAUUAUGCCGCCGCUGUUGGGCGUCUACGACUUCACCGCCGGCCUGCCUCCGUCGCCGCCGAGUGGUGUCCCCGCCUAUACGGUCGGUUGGUCACACCACCGUUGAUGGGCAUCGUCAUCUUCACCGCCGGCCUGCCUCCGUCGCCGCCGAUUGGUGCCUCCGCCUACACGGCUGGCCUAUUAUGCCGCCGUUGUUGGAUGUCUACAUCCUCACCGUUGGCUCACCUUCGUUGCCGUCGACUGGUGUUUCCGCUUACACGGCUGACCUAUUAUACCGCCAUUAGUGGGCAUCUUCGCUUUCACCGUCGACCGCCUUCGUCGCCGCCGACUGGUGUCUUCAUUAUUAUUGAUGGACGACUUUGUUCCCACAUUGGCCACUUCUGCCAUCACCAAGGGGAAUAUUACAAAGCUAAGUCAUCAUUUAUUUUAUUCUUUAUAUGAUAUUUUUCCUUUUCCUCUGCCUCACUACACCAAUUGGUCUUCCAUUGAGUAGUGAGUCGGGGGCUACAGAUGUUAUAUCAUAUUUUUUAUAAUAUUUAUCUUGAUUGCUUGCGACAUAAUCUGAGUACAAAAGUACCUAUCGAGUUAUGGAGUUCUAUCUUCCUAUGCUUUCCGUUUGGUUUGCCAAUGGAUGGUUGCCUUUGGGCCGAUUCCUAACACCCGGGGGCUCGUUGGAUGGACCGAGUAACGCAAGGUGCUAAGUAUUACUCGGAAGAAAUCAAAAGCAUAGAGAUAAUAUAAUUUAUUUUCUGCUCUUAAUAAUUGCAAAAGUACCUGAGUAGUAAAUUCUGAUCCGUGAAACUUUGUUCCAUUAAUGACGAACUCAUGUCACUCAUAUGCAUGUUUGGGAAAUGCCUAGGCCGACUCCCGAUGCUUGGGGGCUAUGACUAGUCGGACAGAGUGUUUAAACGUACAGAGUCAUCUGCUCGGGGAAAUCAAAAUUGACAAGAGGAGAAAUACAUAUUUAUAAAUAUUUUAAAAUACUUGAUUUUUUCUCGAGUAUUAUAUUUAUAUCAGAUACUACUCAUCCUAUAUGUUUGUUCUGCAGGAUCCAGAUCCAGAUAUGCAUAAAAGGGAUUCAUGGCUUUAAGCUUAUCUCUUACGCUCCAGGAAUGGAUCAGUCAGAACACCACCACCGGCUCGCCUCGACCGCCGCCGACUGGUGUUUCCGCCUGCACGGCUGGCUUAUUAUGCCGCCGUUGUUGGGCGUCUACGUCUUCACCGACCGGCUUGCCUUCGCCGCCGCCGACUGGUGUUUCCGCCUGCACGGCUGGCCUUUAUGCCGCCGUUGUUGGGCGUCUACGUCUUCACCGACCGGCUUGCCUUCGCCGCCGCCGACUGGUGUUUCCGCCUGCACGGCUGGCCUUUAUGCCGCCGUUGUUGGGUGUCUACGUCUUCACCGACCGGCUUGCCUUUGCCGCCGCCGACUGGUGUUUCUGCCUGCACGGCUGGCCUUUAUGCCGCCGUUGUUGGGCGUCUACGUCUUCACCGACCGGCCGCCUCGUCCGCCGCCGACUGGUGUUUCCGCCUGCACGGCUGGCCUAUUAUGCUGCCGUUGUUGGGCGUCUACGUCUUCACCGACCGGCUUGCCUUCGCCGCCGCCGACUGGUGCUUCCGCCUGCACGGCUGGCCUUUAUGCCGCCGUUGUUGGGUGUCUACGUCUUCACCGACCGGCUUGCCUUUGCCGCCGCCGACUGGUGUUUCUGCCUGCACGGCUGGCCUUUAUGCCGCCGUUGUUGGGCGUCUACGUCUUCACCGACCGGCCGCCUCGUCCGCCGCCGACUGGUGUUUCCGCCUGCACGGCUGGCCUAUUAUGCUGCCGUUGUUGGGCGUCUACGUCUUCACCGACCGGCUUGCCUUCGCCGCCGCCGACUGGUGUUUCCGCCUGCACGGCUGGCCUUUAUGCCGCCGUUGUUGGGCGUUUACGUCUUCACCGACCGGCUUGCCUUCGCCGCCGCCGACUGGUGUUUCCGCCUGCACGGCUGACUUAUUAUGCCGCCGUUGUUGGGCGUCUACGUCUUCACCGACCGGCUGCCUCGACCGCCGCCGACUGGUGUUUCCGCCUGCACGGCUGACUUAUUAUGCCGCCGUUGUUGGGCGUCUACGUCUUCACCGACCGGCUGCCUCGACCGCCGCCGACUGGUGUUUCCGCCUGCACGGCUGACUUAUUAUGCUGCCGUUGUUGGGCGUCUACGUCUUCACCGACCGGUCGCCGCAUCCGCCGCUGACUGGUGUCACCGCCUGCACGGCUGGCCUGUUAUAACGCCAACUGAUGCUAUCUUCUUCACGGCUGGCUACAUCGCUGUCACUACUAAUAGGCAUCAGUAUCUUCAACACAAGCUGCCUACGUUUGCCAUGGCUGCCGACUGGUUUCUUCACUUCCAUGGCUGCAUGAUUCUGCCAGUGUUGAUUGGCCUUAUCUUCUUCACCGCCGGUCGUCUCGUCUGCUGCUGACUAGUGCCCUCACCUCUACGUCUGGUUUAUACAGCUACCACUACUGAUGGACAUCAUCGUCUUCCGUUGCCGACUGGUUAUGCCGCCGCCGACUAGUGCUUUUAUCUUCACAACUGCGCGUCUUCGCUACCAGUUUGCUUCUGUUGCCGCCGACUCAUGUUCACUUCAUCACGGCGAUGCAACUUUGUCAUCAUAGUGGAGCGACUUCAUCUUUAUUAUCUUCGGCACUGGCAAACUCUAUUGCUGCUACUUCGCAAGUUUUACUACUUCACCAACCACGACGUCUUUGUGAACCUCGACAUCUCGGCAUGCAAUGCCAUGAUAUUUUACUACAACAAGUGACUCUCCAAUAUUCAGGAUUUCUACUUGGACACCUUCAACACAUAUCUUCAAUCAAGCAAUGACUACUCGACGACAAGAAGCUAUAAUUCUCGACUCUAUGUUCAGUUGUUUCCCAACUAACCAAAGAGUCGGGGGCUACACAAAUAUAAGGCUCAAAAUUUGACAAAUUUUAUGUCAAGCUGAAGAAAUCAAUUAAUCAGCCAAUGAGUCAACUCCAGGAGUCAUUAUCUUCAUCUUUGCUUCGGAACAGACAUUCUACUUCAACAACUUCAAAUAUUUCGGUUUAGACGAGUUGGGCAACAACAUCAACUCUCCUCCAAUUAUUUGUCUUCACGGUUGGCCUACUACGCAACUGCCGAUAGAGGAUCUCAUCGUUAUCAUCGGCUGCUACAUCGCUAUUGACUGGAUCACCGACAUCGUCAUCUUCAUCAACAUCUUGUCAAGCCUCAUCAACAUAGCCUACUCUGCUGCCGUUGAUGGGAAACUUCGUCAUCAUAGUCGGCUAUCUCUGUUGCCGCUAAUCAUCAUUACCGUCGGAUGCGUUUGUCGCCGCCGAUUAUUUUCUUCAUCUUCAUGAUUGGUGGAUUUCGCCAUCACCGUUGAUGCGCGUCUACGUCUUCAUCGUCGGUUUGCUUUUGUCACCACCGACUGAUCUUUCGUUGUUGUUGGGCGCCUACAUCUUCACUGCUAGCUGACCUGACUGUUGCCGACUGGUUUCUUCGCUUCCAUGGUUAUGCAACUUCAUUACAUUUGAUUGGUGGCAUCUUUACUACCACUGACAUCUUCCGUUACUUCUGAUGAGCAAUUUCGUCUUCAUGUUGGUCAUUUCAUCUCCAUGCCGACUGCGUCAGCUAUUGCCAAUAGACAAUUUUGACUAUGACAGAAGGACAAGCUAUAUGCUCAGGGGCUCAUCAGCUCAAGCGUGAGGAUUAUAUCUCCAAUUUGGACUUGUUCCGGAUACAUUCCACAUGGAUUCAUAGUCAUGAGUCUAUUUUCUAUGCUCAAAGACUGGACCAAUUAUUAUUCCCCGUAAGGGCUAUCAACCGAAUACUUGCGCCAGUCGGGAUUCAAUUAUUAUAUUUAUUUUGGAGUAUCCCAUAAGGGAUAAUCAUUCAGAUCAGAAGCUAUUCAUAUGAGCUACACUUGGUCUAUAUUACCCAGAAGAUUUAUUACUCGGGAGCAUGUUACAUGCGUCAUCCUUUAAAGGGUGUCGAAGGCAUAUUUUUUGGCCUAGGCCUAAUAUGUCUGCAGCCCAUAUUUUCAGGUGUGGCCUGUCACGUUCUUUUAGGGACUUAGGCACUUUUUGCUUAGGCCAAAGUGCGCGUGAUCAAGUGCCCAAUACCUUAAAAUCCUUUUAUACCGCAGUUACUUAACUUUUUAGGAGUUGGUACAAUGCAUCUUAAAAGGUGUCAAACAGUAAAGCUUUAUAUAGCUGUCCCGCUGACUUUUUUAUAUAUAAGUCAAGGUGCUGUUUGGGUUUUUAAGCAAUUGAUUAGAUACAAUAUCAUUGCUUUUCGCCACGUAAGUGUGCAUUUUUAUUGACCAAUGUUAUGGCUUAGGCUGAUUAUAUAUUGUGGUCAUUUUCUAGGCGGUUGGUAAAUCCUUUAUGAGUUUAUUUACUCAGAUUUUACACCACAUAUGCCAUAUAUUUCCAGGUGUGGUGAAACCAUGUGUCUUCUAGGGACUUAAGCACAUCUGUUAAAGCAGUGUGCGCAUGGCGUAUGCCCAAUACUUUGGAAAUUUCUUUAUUCACAAUAUACAAGCUUCUUUAUAGCUAUUUUGCUAUAUCACUCAUCAUAUUUUACAAAGCAGUUGGUAUAUCACUCGGAUCAUGUUAUUUGGAGGAUUCACACCGCAUAUGCUAUAUAUUGAUAUCAAGUCACUUGGUUGAUUACGAUUAUCAAAACCACUCGGUUGGUUGGAUUAUUUAUUCCUUGACUAUAUGCUUGGUUUGUUCAAUUAACCACAUUGUCGGGGGCUACACCUAUUAGGUGCAUCUAGUCGGUGCACCUGACUUUAUUUUCCAGCCCUCCACAGUCUUCAGAUUUGGUAAAAGUACUCGGGAGACCAUGACAAAGAUGAUUGAAGCACUCGGCUUUGGAGUAAUCUGGUUCGAGAGAAGAUUAUCUUUUCGACUGCGAAGGUCUCAGGGGCUACUGUGGAUAUUAUGGGUACCCCAUACCCAUACGGCAUGGUUAUCCGACCAGUCAUAGGGGAUAACUUAUAUCUAUAGAAUAUGUAAUAGAUCAUGACUCGGGUAUUACGUUUCCUUAUAUAUUACGGAACAGCCUAAAGUCCUGGUUUGAUAAUAUUGUAAAGUAGAUUUAGGAAACCGAUACCGUAUUGGUUAAGGUUUCUAUCUUGUAAUCCUGCCCCCCACCCUAUAUAAGGUGGGCAGGAGGCCCUCUAGGGGGCAUGAGACAACCUGAUCGUCAGAUCUAUAAUACACCCGGCGGAUUCAAAUCCCCAAACAGGAGUAGGGUAUUACCUCUCAUUGAGAGGGCCCGAACCUGUCUAAAUCCUUUGUCUCCACAUCCAUCCACUUUUAGGUCUCGUGCGCUACCCCGUUUUAUUAUUGCCGAAAUCAUGUUUCGACACCCUGGUUCUUCUAAAUGUCCUUUUUCCCCAUUACCGCUAUGAUCCGGUGUAACUGCACAACAGUUUUAAAAUUAAACAUUUACCAAUAUUGUGUCUGAAAGAAGUGCGCGAGACUUAACAUGGAUUUGAAUCAGAUGUGAUAGUGUGACUGCAAUUUAUGCAAUCUAUGACCGCUUAUUAGAUUGGGUCCAAUGGUCAAUAUGCACCCUGGUAGUGUAGAUCACUGUGGCAAAAAUUGUUUACUUUUGUGUUGGCACUGUAGCCAAUAAUCUGGUUCAUUCAUCAACAAAAUGGAUAUAGUCGCAAUUGCGUGCCAUAGCUUAACUUGUAGGCGGCUCUAUUAAUUCAAAUUGUGCCUUAACGUAGCAUAGAGGUGGACAAAAAGCGCAAAGCUCAUGGCUUAGAUCAGCUUGUAGCGAUCUCGACUCAGAUAGGCUCGAACUCGUAAUCUUAAUGAGUCAGGCCAGGUUAGAUUUUUAACUCAUAACCUUAACGAGCUAACUCGCGAGCUCCUCGUUUAGCUUGUUAGUACAAGAUAUCACCACAUCUUUAUAUACUUAGUACUUCUUAACUAGUGCUUAGAUUUUUAAUUACAUCAAAAUUAUUCGUAUUUAGUGAGUUCUUCAUUAGUUUGUGUUUAUUAUUAUGUUAAUAUAUGAUAAAUUUGAAAUUAUCGAUAUGAUAUAAAUGAGAUAGAGCUUGUUAACGAGCCUAAUGAGCUUAACAGCUCACGACCCGAACCGAGCUAGUCUUUUAGCUCAAUGUUAAUGAGCCGAGAUGACUCGUACUAAGAUAACGAGUUUUAACGAAUUGAGCCUUAACGAGUCUAGCUGGUUCGUUAUCCAGCCCUAUUUAGUGGUGGCUAACGAGCCAACUCGGCUCGACUUGUAAAAACUCGUUAAGUUAGCGAGCUAGCUCGGGUUGACUUGUUAACAUAAUGAGUUAAAAAUGGAAAGCGACUCGACUUGUUAAAAUAACAAGUUAAAAAUGAAAGCAACUCGACUUGUUAAAAAGCCCAAGUCGACUCAUUAAACUCGUUACAUCGAAAUACAUGGUUUAAAAUUCAUAUACAUGGGGCAAAGCGAAGUUUGUCCCUCGCGUCGACCUCGCGCGGCGGCUCGGGGGCGAAACCCUAGCCGCCACCGCCCCUCCUCCUCCCUCCUCCCUGCUUCGCCGCCGCCGGAGCUCGUCGCCGGCAAAGCCGGGCGACGCGCUGGGAUGGCGGCGGCGGGGUAAUCUCCCUCGACUCCAUCUCGCCCCGGCGCGGGUGUGGCGACGAUGGCGGCGGGACGGCGAGGUCGCGGCGGCGGGACGGCGAGGUCGCGGCGAUGGCGUGGUGGUGGGGCUCCCCGCGGCGAUGGCAGCGCGGCGGUGGGGCUCUGCGCGGCUCCGUUGAGGGCGUCGCCAGAUCUGGUAGCCCCGCCAGAUCUGGCCGGGGUACGACGGCGGCGCGGCGGCGGGUCUCGGCGUGGCCGGCGACGGUCUCGGUCGACGCCGGCGCCCUCGGACGUAGCAGGUGGCCAGCAGCUUCGGCGCGGUUUCAUCGGCGACGACAGCACCGGGUCGGCGGCGGUGCUCCGGCGCCGGCUGCCGCGUGGUCCUGGCCAGGGGCUGCCGGCCUGCUGCGGCUUUUGCCGGCGACGGGGAAGGCGCCUCCAUCUCCCUCCCUCCUGGUCCUCCAGAUCCGGUUCUCCCCUUCUUCAGUGGUGUUUCUUCCGGUGCUCUCUGACGGUGCGGCGUCCGCUCCCCUCUUCUUAGGUGCUCCUCCCUUCUUAGGCUAGGCUGCUUCCAGUCGAUGCCGGGGAGUUCCGUGGUUCGGUAGGGGUGGCGUGCGGAGUUGUUUCGGCAUCCUGUUCGCUGGUCGUCGGCCGCGCCGUUGUUUCCCUGCAGCUGGGUUCCUGGGUGUGAGGUGGUCUCUGGUCGAGCUGCAGGGUUGGCUGUUGAGGUGGAGUUGGAGCUGCUUGUCUUGCAAGCUCGGCAACGAUGACCCUCAACGAACGUCCCGGCAACGCGACGAGGGUUUUGAGGUGGAGCAGUUCGAGAGAGCCUUAGGUGAAAACCUUGCCUAGUGUCGUAGGCUCUCCAGACCUUCCAUUAUAUUUGAGAGAUGAAGUGAAUAAUUCAAGUCAUCAAACAAGCAUAAUGAAACAUCCGACGCCUCGAGAGAGGAAUUUUGGAGACAUUGCUGGGCCCUUAGCCUGCCAGUCAACUUCAGCCUGAGAUGUGCCCGUCAAACCACUCAAAGGCGGCGACCAGAUGUGUUACACAUUCAGGAGACUUGACAAAAAUGGCUAAAGAUCUACAACCUCUCAAAUAUUCCUAACUCAUACUCAUGUGAAUCUAGUUCCCAGGAUGUGCACUAGAUUCACACUUUCAUCUUAAGCAUGAUUAUACAUAGCAAACACAACUAAGAUGAAAGAAACUUAAGACUUACAACAACUUAAUAAUUACAUAGGCCAACCGGCCAAAUAGACUUAUUAGAGAACAGCGGAAGCUUGACUACCCAAUCACAAGCACACCGACUAGGGGUUUACCCUAUUAAGUUCUCAUCCUAGAAGAAGCAAUCGGAACCCGCAUCACUCAAAGACUAAGACUAAACCUGCAAACAAAAGGUUAUAUCAACAGCAAGAGUCAGUACAUUAAACAAGUUAAUGUACUGGCAAGCACAAGUCAAUCCUACUAUACUACAUGUAAGGCAUAUAUUCAAAGGAAGGCAAUAUGUAGUUCAAUUUCAGCAUAUAGCAAGUUUUGUUUUGCAAUUCUUUUGUAAAGGAGGUGAUGCUUCAAUUAACAAAGACAAGUUUUAAGUUUCAUUAUUAACUUCUUCAUAAUUCCAUCAUAAACAAUCUCUUAUUGCCAUACUUAACAAUAAGUCAUAAUGUAUCACCACAUACACAACUCAACACAUUUAUCAAUUUCAAACCAAUGUCACAUGAUCACAUUUUUAAAACAUAGUCUAUACUCAUGACACAUCACCAAAGCGCUCAUGACCGUGAGCACGGCUAAUCGAUUAGUUUAAAGAACUCUGCAGAGUUUGUACAGCUUUACCCACAUGAUAUGAACUCUCUAGUUUGUUUUGAGUUUGCAAGACUCCACCACACUCUUCAUGUUGAAUGUGAUCUAGAGGUCAUAACGAAGCCUUUACACUACUUAGAGCCUAGCCUUGCACCAGCACGAUACGUGUUCCUCCAUCCUAGGCAUACUUGGAAUAUACCUGGAACCGUUAAGUGGCGGGCCCACGCCUUAAACUUAACGCCGUGGUAGCGGACACGACGGGAACCCACCACGUGGCACAAUACCGUUGUAUUGGACACGCUUAGUCACCUAAACUACCACGUCGGGGUAAAUAGGAAGCUCCUCUGAAUUAUACGAACUCAUACACACCGGCCUACCAGAAUGCAAGGCUAGUCCUAAAUAGAUUAAUCAGCUUAGGCCAUCCCAUACUAGCACAUGUGGAUGUACGAAUAACUUUAAAUGGGUGACACAAGUUCGGUCCUUAUGGACUUGGGCAAACACUCCCCCUAUCGGUAUGCAACUAACACUAUAUGCACACCACUUGCUGCCCAAGUGUAAAAUCACAUUUUACACAUUUUAGUUCGCAAAUACCCAUCAUAUUCAUUUUAUUCCAGCAAAGGUUCAAGUAUCAAAACCACAUUUUAAUUAUAGAUGGAAUGAGCAUUUGCAUAUUUCUAAGCAUGGCUAAGCAAGUAAUUGCACAUAGAGCAUAUAUAAACCCAUAUGAGCACAAAGAGUGUACUCUAACCAUUUCUAGGGUUCAAACAGCAAGAGGAUCAAUUAUUCAAGGUGGGUUAUGCAGCAAAUAGGUCAUAACUACCUUAACCCAGUUUCAAAUACCGAUAUAGUCUAAGUUCACAUGCAACUUUGCAAACAAAUAUUUUCAUUCCUCAAAUCAUGGGAUCCAAUGUGUUCAAAGGAUGGGAGGAGAAAACUUGCCUUGAUCAGAGAAUUGUUAGCACCUAAUCCACUUCUUCACCGAUUAUGCAAUUAUCUAGAUAAAGGACACGACAUGCAAUUAAACACCGAAAGAGCUGAAAAUCCAAAAUGCUCUAAAAUGCAUGAUUUAUGCACAGUGGGUUGGAAAUGAUCUAAAAUGAAUUUAGGUGAAAUAAUUCCUAUUUUAUUUUAUUCCAUUUGGGAGUUAUGAAUUUUAGAAGUUUUAUCGGUUUACAAUAGUAUAGUCUUAGGUAGUGUUAUGAAAUACUUUUGUAAAAUGAUUUUUAUUAGAUUAGACUUCACAGGGGUGUGGAGAUGUGUUUUCUAAGACUAACACAUUUGGUUUCACAAUUUUUGGAAUUAUAAUGAAUUCUUUAUGCAUUUUACAAGUUAUAACGUGUUUUAGACAUAUAGUGUUUUAUAUGUUCAUGACUUUUGAGUUAUAGGUUCAGAACAUGCUACUUCCUGUUUAAGUUGAAUAAAAGGAAUAAUUUGGUUAACUAAAACAUUUUUAUCUCACAUGUUUAUGGUCUUUACUACUAUGGUUCAUAUUUUAUAAAGUAGAGAUGCUUUAAUCUAAACUAGCAAUAUAUUAUAUUAACCUAGAAAUUGUUAUAUGAGCUAAGUUCUUCUAAUUUUAGUGGAUGGAAAUGGAACUAUGGCUUCACUGGUCAAUCAAGUUUUUAUUUAGGUUUAAUUAGACCUAAAGUGUAUAUAUAUACUUAUACAUGUUUAUGUAUUACUUAAACAACACUAUGUGUUUAAAUUCUUAUUUCACUAAGUUAAGGUUUUGAUCAAUGUUCUCUACAAAAGGUGACAAAUUUUAUUUUACUAUGUUGAAGAUAACUAUUUGCUGGUUCUAUAGAAACUUUGUUCAUUUCAUUUGGACUAAAAAUAAAUUUUCUACAAGUUUUACAAAUUAAUGGCUGCUCUAUGUUAGUAAAUCCUUAUAUGAAUAUUUAGAGACUUUUACUACACAGCAAGUAUAUAAUCUUAUUUCAUAACAUGGAAAUACAUGUUUUAGUGAUCCUACAUAACUUAAGUUUAUUCAAAUUGAAGCUAAAUUGGGUUCUACAUGAAUUUCUAAAGUUUAGCUUAUCUAAAACUAAUCAUUAUAGAGAUAAUAGUUUUAGAGGCAUUUGAUGCAAAGUAAGUAAUUACUUUUAUUUCACUUAAUCAGAGACUGUAUGAUGAUGAAUCUGUAGAAUUUGAUUUUGUUUCAAAAUGAGUUGAAAUGAAUUUUCUAUGUAUUUUAUAAGUUUGUACAUGUUUUAUGUAUAACCUAUCUUAGAUAAAUUUUAGAGACAUUAUUUGUACAGUGAGUGUCAAGUUUUAUAUUCCUGGAAUAAAGUUCAUAACUUCAAGAAUCUACAGCAACUGGAAUAACUUCAAAAUGAGCUAUAUUUGAUUUUAUAUAGAUUUUACAACUUUGUGCAUUUUUCUGCUAAACAUAUAUUUGUUUGGGCAUUUUCCUAAUUUUUCUUCAGAUUUUAAAGGAUGGGUCCACAUGGCUGUGAGGGACCAAUAUGCACAAAGGCCCUUGAGGUUUCUAGGAAUCAACCCGCAGUCCUAGGCCCAUAUGUCAGUGUGUUUCUACAAUUGUAAACAGAUCCCUGCACUUAAUCUAAUUCACGGAAGUCAUCCCUCUGCUCUAGGCAGAGCAGAGCUAGCCAUGGCUGAGCUCGAUCUGGAGCUCGCCGGCAGCAAACGGUGGCUCGUUUGAGGUUGAGGUCAAAAGAUAAAAUGAAGAGCAAGCUCUCGCGAUUCCAUUCCUCUAGUUUUCUUGGUUAGAGGACAUCGGAGUAGCGCCGAUGGCGAGUGUGAGCGGCGGUGGUUUUGGGGUGAAAGUGCAUGUGUGCAUGGAAGUCGAUUACGAAUGAAAAGGAUGCAUGCAUGUGGUCUUCUAGACUUCAGGAUGCUCACCGUGGGUCGAGCUAGGGUUGUCGAGGUCUUGGCGGCAGCGGUGACUUGUGGAACGGCUCGGCGACGGCGCUCCUCCUCGGGUGAACGACGACGGCUCGAACGGGACAAUGAGCUGCUUCAAGCAAGCAUGCACGAGGGUUGUGAGGUCAAGGAGAUGGUGUAUGUGCAAGGAAUCGAACAAUGGCUCACCGAGGCAGCGGUAAUCGACGAUGACGGCAGAGGCGAUCCUAGAUUGGCGCCGGUGAAGAAAAGGAUGUGUUCUCCGUGUUCUUGAUGUUUCCGGCUGGGGUUCUUGAGGCGUUUUGAAGAGGAGGUUGAGGUGAUGACAAUGGCGCAGCGGCUUUCUCUGAGGUGGAUGAGAAUGGCCGGACGACAACGAUGGUUGAAGCGGCGGCGCUCCGGUGCGUGCUCCAGGGCAUCGUCGGCGUGGUCGCGUUCCGGUGGCUGUGAUACACAAAACGGGAGGUGGUCAAAAGAGAAAUGGUUCGGCACUGUGUGGAGAGAAGGGAACGCGGAAAACCUGGAGAUGACCUUUACCCAAUCAGCGAUGGCGAUGGUCGUCGUCUCCACGGCCGGCGGCAAGGUUUGGGGCGAUGGAGAGGCAGAGAACCUCCUCCCUCGGUUUCUUCGGCUCUGAGUGGUGAAUGGAGAAUGGCGACGCGUCUAGGAGGAGUAGAGAGCGAGAAAAAGGAAACCGAGAUCGACGACACGUUGCGGCCACGCGUCGGCUCGCUCAAUCUCUCCCUCUCUCGGCUGGAGCAGUGGAGGAAGUGAUGGACAGAGCUGAACCUAGCCUAAGGCACUGACAAGUGGGGCCAACUCGAUGGAAACUAGGCCAGGGAGAGAGAUAUGGGUAGAAGACUGGUAAACUGGAUUUUUAGAUUAAUUUUCGGAAUUAUUUUCUCCUCUAACUUUGUAACUACAUAAUUCAAUGUGUGGACCAAAUUAAUUAGUGUUGAUUUUACUGGAGGUAAAUGAUUACACCUAGAUUCCAUUUUCUUUGGUUGCACUCAAAAAUAAUGGGUGGACUGCUCACAGAAAUUAAACAAAGAUGGGCUAUUAGAAAGCUAGAUUGAAUUUUUAGGAGGCUUAAACAGAGAAGGAAAAUUCUAGAAAAAUUACAUUUAUUCAUGAUAACUAAUCUAGUAUUUGAAUAAAUUAUUUUCCAUGUUCACUGAUGUGCAGUUAAAUGUACUUUUGGAUGAAAUAUGGUUUUAGCCGAUUAAAAUUUAAUUUGAUUUCUUUUAGUUGUCUGCUUCGACCGAUUAAUUUGAGAUAUCAACUUGAGUGUUAACACGUUACCAAAUUACGGAGGAUAAGUUUGUGCUAAUCAUUGUCCACAUAAAUUUUUCCAUGAUUUUAUCUUGCACAAAAUAUUUUAGAGAAUUAAGUUGACCUUUGUUUGUAUAUGUGUUCCCACUUCAUAAUUGCAUCUAAUAUUAUUAUAGGGAUUACAUUAAACUUCUUUUAGACUGAGAAGAUGAUAUUUGAGUUUAAUAUUAAGUCCACAUGUUAUUACCCAAGAUUAACUAUAGGUUUGUUUAGUGAAGUAAUUCUUUUAGAUUAUGCUCAUGGGAUCUAUUAUGGAAUGCAAGACCAAAACUUCAAAUGCACAAAGAACUCGAGCCUAGGCAUGCAUUAUGUACAUGUAUGCUUGGUGACAUUUCUAGUCUAAUGUUGGGAAUGAAAAUGUUUUAUUUUGUUCUCAAAUUUUAAUCAUGCAAUGGUUUAAGUUGAUCAUCACCUAAAUUAAAACGGAAAUUUUUGGCUCUCAAAAUUGGAGAAAUUAACCUCUAACUAUUUUGAUAAGAAAUUUUAAGUCCUAAAAUUUCGGGUAUGUUACACCUAGUCUAUCCUAGGUUGAUGAUAUCGACGCUUGUGGGCGCCGUUUCCUCCUUGGAGGUGUCGUCAUGUUGGUUCUCUCUUCCUUCAGGUGAAAACCGGGUUCCUUUCGGAACGGGCGUUGACAGCAUCCUUAAUGUUGUUUCCUUGUUGAAGGCUUCGCUCAGAAGGUAUUUGCUCCACUAGAGGAUGUUUGGUGGUUCUGGAGACCUUGUCAUUAUGUUGUCGAAGCUGCUUGCCUUUUGGUAAGCUCGGUAACGACGACUUCUGUGAGGUCUCAUUAGUUGUUUCUUUUCUUUUCUGUAUUGGUUUUUGCCGGUUUCCCGUUUAAUUAACCGUGCUUGUUUGGUUUUCGGGCCCGGUUUCCCUUAUUAACUGGGCCAAUUCUCUUCUUCUAUAAAUUCCGGCAGGAGAAACUCCUGCCGUCGGUUCCUCGAAAAAAAAAUUCAUAUACAUAUAUAAAUCAUGAUUUGUGAGCCUAUGACCAAAGAUUAUGAUUGUCGUGCUAUGUAUCAUGACUAACAAUACAAGGAAUAAUUACGAGUUUAUUACGACCUUUACACUGGCAAAAUGUGGACAAUUAACUUAUAUCUUAAUACAUCAUGCGCUCAACGAGCUACCUCGAGUUGUCUCAUUAAACAAAUGAGUAAAAGUUCAAACUCAACUCAACUCAUUAACUGCCAAGUCGAGUUGAGUCGAGAAGAGUUUUACACAAAUUAAAUUGGGGCAAUAGCGCUUUUGACCCUGUUCUAGAACCUACCAAUUUGACCAUACUUUUUCAACUUUGCUCAUUUGACCCUCGUUUUUAAAACUGAAGAUCAGGUCUGACCCCCUUCUGUUAAAUCAACGUAACGGUGUGCCCUUCUUAUUCACACGUUUGUGCCGCCUACCUCCUUGUUUGGAACAAACAGGAGAAGACCGCGUCGCCAUCCUCUUCGAAGCAAGAAGGAGCAUCGCCACCACACAUCGUCCUCCCCGUCCAGAUCGAGGAACAGCGCCGCCACCGUCGCCGUCCUCCCGUCACGACGCGGCGCCGCCACGGAUUUACUCCCUCCGUCGCCGCCGCCGCCGCUACCGUCUUCCACGAGCUGGCGUGACCGCUCCCUCUCUCCACGAGCUGACGCCGGCACGGAUCCGCUUCCUCCGUGUCCCUCCGCCGUCGCUGCUGCCUUCCUCCACGAGCCGGCGCGUCCGCUCAUCCGCCACUGCCGCAACUCGCCCCUCCAUGCGCCGCCGCCGCACAGGAUAUAUGAGAGAGAGAAACGGUAGUGAAUGGGUAGGUUAGAUGUGGAUUGGUUUCCUUGAGGGUAGUUUGGUCAUUACAGUAUUUUUUUCUAAAAAAAAUGGAACCUUAACAGUGCGGUGGAAACAGGGUUAGACGGGGUGUUCAUUUUUGAAAAGCGGGUUCAAAUAGCAAACUAGAAAAAAAAAAGCUAGUUUAGUAGUUAGUCUUUCAAAUGAGGUCAAAUAAGUAAUUAUCCCAAUUAAAUUAGCUUACGAGUUUCGAGAUUUUUGACCAACCCCUAUUCACACAUAUCCAUCCAGCAUCAUAGACCCGGUUAAGCCCCUCCUAUUUGGGCAGGCCUACAUCCCGAAAAGGUGCUCCAUGGAAUGCCAAAACGCACCCGUCCCGGUUCCCAUUCCCAUUCAUAGCUAUCUACCACCUUUUUCGAUCGUUACGCAAUGCUCGCGCAAUAACGAAAUCUACCGCGUGCCAUACCGCCACGCAACUAGCUAGAUGCCACUCACUCGAGGUUAGUUAGGCAUGGGCAUCACAUAGCAAACUGGCCAUCCCAUAGCUUUCCUAGCUCCCACGAGACGACCCUGCACCCUGCAUGCGGCAGCACGGCGCACACGCUCCUUUCUUGAUCGUGCGCGUGGAGCCCAGACGUGACCGGCC